rnacentral:rRNA from 1 species
UACAGAGGGGGCAAGCGUUGUUCGGAAUUACUGGGCGUAAAGGGCGCGUAGGCGGCCAACUAAGUCGGACGUGAAAUCCCCGGGCUCAACCCGGGAACUGCGUCCGAUACUGGAUGGCUUGAAUCCGGGAGAGGGAUGUGGGAUUCCAGGUGUAGCGGUGAAAUGCGUAGAUAUCUGGAGGAACACCGGUGGCGAAGGCGGCAUCCUGGACCGGUAUUGACGCUGAGGCGCGAAAGCCAGGGGAGCAAACGGG